UAAAGUAUACUUUGUAUUACUUCUGGAGUCGUGGUUGCCUCCUGGGCUGUUAUGGCAAAUACCCGUCCCUGAACCAUCGGUCUACUCGGCUCCCUGGGCAGGGGCAAUCACAUAUGAAGUGCUGAGUGCUGCCACACCAGUAGCAGCCCCGACUGCCACCCAAGCACGGGUGAUCUCCAUGGUUCUUACUGCACCACGCACAACCUGUAUUAUUUGGAGGUAUCUGGCGACUUGGUGUUAGAUCUUGUACCAUUCUCUGUCUUUUUUCUAUUUGGCCAAUUGGGGGUUGUGGCCGUCCAUAACUGGAAAAUUCUCUGUUAUUCUCAAGAUGUUCUUUAUACAGUGUCUCUACCAAUUGCGCUUUCUCCAAUACUAUCUGAUAAGUAGGUAACGCAAACAUAGCUAUCUGGUGAUAUAGCUCUGGCCUCAAUCCUUUUUCAAAC
rnacentral:lncRNA from 1 species